rnacentral:rRNA from 1 species
AUUGAACGCUGGCGGCAUGCCUUACACAUGCAAGUCGAACGGCAGCACGGGAGCAAUCCUGGUGGCGAGUGGCGAACGGGUGAGUAAUAUAUCGGAACGUGCCCGGUCGUGGGGGAUAACGUAGCGAAAGCUACGCUAAUACCGCAUACGAUCUACGGGAUGAAAGCGGGGGAUCGCAAGACCUCGCGCGAUUGGAGCGGCCGAUAUCAGAUUAGGUAGUUGGUGAGGUAAAGGACUCACCAAGCCGACGAUCUGUAGCUGGUCUGAGAGGACGACCAGCCACACUGGGACUGAGACACGGCCCAGACUCCUACGGGAGGCAGCAGUGGGGAAGUUUUGGGACAAUGGGCGGCAAGCCUGAUCCAGCAAUGCC